GUGUCAGCCGCCGCGGUAAGACGGAGGAUGCAAGCGUUAUCCGGAAUGAUUGGGCGUAAAGCGUCCGCAGGUGGCAAUUCAAGUCUGCUGUUAAAGCGCAGGGCUUAACUCUGUAAAGGCAGUGGAAACUGAAUAGCUAGAGUGUGGUAGGGGCAGAGGGAAUUCCCAGCGUAGCGGUGAAAUGCGUAGAGAUUGGGAAGAACAUCGGUGGCGAAGGCGCUCUGCUGGACCAUAACUGACACUCACAGGACGAAAGCUAGGGGAGCGAAUGGGAUUAGAUACCCCAGUAGUCCUAGCCGUAAACGAUGGAUACUAGGUGUUGUCUGUAUCGACCCGGACAGUGCCGUAGCUAACGUGUUAAGUAUCCCGCCUGGGGAGUACGCACGCAAGUGUGAAACUCAAAGGAAUUGGCGGGG
rnacentral:rRNA from 1 species